rnacentral:piRNA from 1 species
UAGCUUAACCGGAAAUGAAAAGAGGUUUG